rnacentral:rRNA from 1 species
GACGGAGGAGGCAAGCAUUGUCCGGAAUUAUUGGACGUAAAGAACACGUAGGCGGUUUGCCAAGUCAUAUGUGAAAACCUUGGGCUUAACUUAAGGAUUGCAUAUGAUACUGGUAAACUAGAGUAUAGUAGAGGAAAGCGGAAUUCCUGGUGUAGCGGUGAAAUGCGCAGAUAUCAGGAAGAACACCAGUGGCGAAAGCGGCUUUCUGGACUGUUACUGACGCUGAGGUGCGAAAGCUGGGGUAGCGAACCGGAUUAGAUACCCUGGUA